rnacentral:rRNA from 1 species
CGGCGCACGGGUGCGUAACACGUGGAUAAUCUGCCCUUGAAUUCGGGAUAACCUUCCGAAAGGUUGGCUAAUACCGGGUAAGCUCACGGUGACUUCGGUCGCUGUGGGAAAAGUAGACCUCUGUUUACAAGUUUACGUUUGAGGAUGAGUCCGCGGCCCAUCAGCUAGUUGGCGGGGUAAUGGCCCACCAAGGCUACGACGGGUAGCUGGUCUGAGAGGACGAUCAGCCACACUGGAACUGAGACACGGUCCAGACUCCUACGGGAGGCAGCAGUGGGGAAUUUUCCACAAUGGGCGAAAGCCUGAUGGAGCAACGCCGCGUGUGUGAUGAAGGUCUUCGGAUCGUAAAGCACUUUCGACCGGGACGAAAAACCUCUGGCUAACAUCCAGGGGCCUGACGGUACCGGGAGAAGAAGCACCGGCUAACUCUGUGCCAGCAGCCGCGGUAAUACAGAGGGUGCAAGCGUUGUUCGGAAUUAUUGGGCGUAAAGCGCGUGUAGGCGGCUUGGCAAGUCAGAUGUGAAAGCCCAUGGCUUAACCAUGGAAGUGCGUCUGAAACUGCUGAGCUUGAGUGCCGGAGAGGAUGGCGGAAUUCCGCAAGUAGAGGUGAAAUUCGUAGAUAUGCGGAGGAACACCGGUGGCGAAGGCGGCCAUCUGGACGGCAACUGACGCUGAGACGCGAAAGCGUGGGGAGCAAACAGGAUUAGAUACCCUGGUAGUCCACGCUGUAAACGAUGAGAACUAGGUGUCGUGGGUGUUGACCCCCGCGGUGCCGUAGCUAACGCAUUAAGUUCUCCGCCUGGGAAGUACGGUCGCAAGAUUAAAACUCAAAGGAAUUGACG